CUAGGCUGACCCGACGGCACUGUAGCCGGGGCUACAGAGUGAGACUCCGUCUCAAAAAAAAAACAACAGAUGAAGAGUGACCAGAGUGGAGACAGGAGCUAUUUUGUAAAAGGAGGUCAAGGAAUCCUUUCUGAGGAUGUGACAUUUGAGCAGAGGCCUUUACAAGAAAAAGGAAUGAGAUGUACCAGGAUCUAGGAGAAGGUACUGCAGACAAGCAGUAUGUGUUCUUCUAUUCAGUUAUUAAUCAAGUGCAUAUUACAUCCCAGGAAAUGCGCUAGGUGUUGGAUAGCAUGUCUUUUCUCAUGGCCUUCUUUUUGUUCUGUGCAGCAAGUGCAAAGGCUCUGAAGCAGGAAUGAGCUUGGUGAAUUGUGCUAUGGUUUUCAAGAUGCUGUCCCCUCCAAAAUUCAUGUUGAAACUUAAUCCCCAAUGCAACAAGGAUGCAGCAACGGGCACCACCUUGGAAGCAGAGCAGCCCUCGCCAGACACUAACCCUGCCAGCACCUUGACUUUGGACUUGCAGCCUCCACAACUCUGAGAAAGUAAAUUUCUGUUCUUUAUACGUUA